GCCAGUGCUUGUGUGGUCAUUGCAAAUUCCUGGCAGUGCUGUAAUGCUUCAGGAGAUUAGCCUACUCAGGUGAGGCGCACUGGUACAGAGCUCAGUCGAGAACAGGAGAUCAGCAGUCACAGCAAGACAAAGGGGGGGUUGAAAUAAAACGCU